UUCCUGACUUCAAAAUAUCCUCAGAUUUGCCAUCAUAAGAGAUAAUAGGUCACUUCUUGGCCAGGUGUAGACUACUCCCCUCCAGAUCUACAUGAAAAUGAUCACCUGUAAAUACUGAGGAAAAGUUCUGGAUUAACCUUAAACAGUAGGUCAGCCACACAAAAGAAAUUCCCAGGAAUUUCAGUGAUGUAAAAUACAGAAGAAAUUAGAUUGAGGAUGGUCACUACUGGACUUGUGAAUCUCCAGCACGUAAUGGGAAAAUAGGCAAAGGAAACCAGCAGAGGCCUCUGUGGGCUUAGAGCUUUCUUCAGGAAAAAGAAAUAAAAAGAAUGAAAAGGAAAACUCAGAGCAUCAUUCAGAAUCUACCACAGGCCAUGCUGGGGGCUGUGGAGGGAGAUGGAGACGAAAUCCUGCCAGCCUACGAAGAGAUCUCUUCCUGUUGAUGUGACACUCACUCAGACUCUCUGAGAACAUGAGAAUGCCCACUUCUCCAGAUCUUCAUAAAUACUGGCAAGACUGUUUGAAAGGCAAUGGAAAUACAUUUGCAUAGCUACAUGUUUUAUCUCUUUUUUUUUAUUCCUUGGAUUUCAAUGGAAAUUUUAGAAAAGGGGAAAAUAAAGGGCUUGAUAUAAGAUGAUCACCUUUAACUGGAAUGGCUCCCCUCCAUCCCAACCAGAUUUUAACUGAAGGAAGUUAUUUAUGUUUCCAAUAUAAAACAGUAAAGAAGACCGCUUCUCUGCCUAGCAACUCUGAAGCUUUCCAUCAUUCAAGCAGUCUAGCCUCCUGCUAGAGUGCCCUUAGCAUAGCAUUGUUUGUGGCUCUUGUCUUUACCAAGAGCACAGGUGUCCCAUUUAUAUCAAUCAGUCCUGACUGUAGAUAAUAAAGCAUCAAGAAGUGGCAACCAACAUUGCAAGUCCCAGAAGAUCUCUAAAUGCCCAGUUAUUACCAGAAGUAUU